rnacentral:rRNA from 1 species
GAGAGGUGCUGCAUGGCUGUCGUCAGCUCGUGUUGUGAAAUGUUGGGUUAAGUCUCGCAACGAGCGCAACCCCUAUCGUCUAUUGCCAGCAUUAAGUUGGGCACUCUGACGAGACUGUCUGGGUUAACCAGGAGGAAGGUGGGGAUGACGUCAAGUCCUCAUGGCCCUUAUGUCUAGGGCUACACACGUAAUACAAUGGCGCGUACAAAGGGAAGCGAACUCGCAAGGGGGAGCAAAUCUCAAAAGGCGCGCCUCAGUUCGGAUUGAAGUCUGCAACUCGACUUCAUGAAGUUGGAAUCGCUAGUA